GAUGAACGCUAGCGGGAGGCUUAACACAUGCAAGUCGAGGGGCAGCAUAGGGUAGCAAUACUCUGAUGGCGACCGGCAAACGGGUGAGUAACGCGUAUGCAACCUACCCUGUACAGGGGGAUAACCCGGAGAAAUUCGGACUAAUAUCCCGUAAUAAUAUCCGGAGGCAUCUUUGGAUAUUUAAAGUUUCGACGGUACGGGAUGGGCAUGCGUAACAUUAGCUGGUUGGUAAGGUAACGGCUUACCAAGGCUAUGAUGUUUAGGGGUCCUGAGAGGGUGGUCCCCCACACUGGUACUGAGACACGGACCAGACUCCUACGGGAGGCAGCAGUGAGGAAUAUUGGUCAAUGGGCGCAAGCCUGAACCAGCCAUCCCGCGUGCAGGAAGACGGCCCUAUGGGUUGUAAACUGCUUUUCCAGGGAGAGAAACUUACGCACGUGUUGCGUGACUGACGGUACCCUGGGAAUAAGCAUCGGCUAACUCCGUGCCAGCAGGCCGCGGUAAUCUAGUCU
rnacentral:rRNA from 1 species